rnacentral:rRNA from 1 species
UACGUAGGGUGCGAGCGUUGUCCGGAAUUAUUGGGCGUAAAGAGCUUGUAGGCGGUUUGUCGCGUCUGCCGUGAAAUUUCGAGGCUCAACCUCGAACUUGCGGUGGGUACGGGCAGACUAGAGUGUGGUAGGGGAGACUGGAAUUCCUGGUGUAGCGGUGAAAUGCGCAGAUAUCAGGAGGAACACCGAUGGCGAAGGCAGGUCUCUGGGCCACUACUGACGCUGAGGCACGAAAGCGUGGGGAGCAAACAGG